GAUGAACGCUGGCGGCGUGCUUAACACAUGCAAGUCGAACGAAGCACUUUAUUUGAUUUCCUUCGGGACUGAUUAUUUUGUGACUGAGUGGCGGACGGGUGAGUAACGCGUGGGUAACCUGCCUUGUACAGGGGGAUAACAGUUGGAAACGGCUGCUAAUACCGCAUAAGCGCACGGCAUCGCAUGAUGCAGUGUGAAAAACUCCGGUGGUAUAAGAUGGACCCGCGUUGGAUUAGCUAGUUGGUGAGGUAACGGCCCACCAAGGCGACGAUCCAUAGCCGACCUGAGAGGGUGACCGGCCACAUUGGGACUGAGCCACGGCCCAAACUCCUACGGGAGGCAGCAGUGGGGAAUAUUGCACAAUGGGCGAAAGCCUGAUGCAGCGACGCCGCGUGAGCGAAGAAGUAUUUCGGUAUGUAAAGCUCUAUCAGCAGGGAAGAAAAUGACGGUACCUGACUAAGAAGCACCGGCUAAAUACGUG
rnacentral:rRNA from 1 species